CUCAGGUGCUCACUUCCGCGUGACCCUGUUCGGUUAAUCCCCUCACCAAAGGGAUUGAAAGGGAUUUUGACUUGCAAGGGGUUUAAUCCCUUCCAAACCUCUUCAAACCCUGCCUAACCGAACAAGCCCUAUUCUCCGCCUACAGUAUCCGCUCACCUCUCUGUUUGGUUCAUCCAUCAUGUUAGUUGUGAUGGUUCCAGUGAUUGCUACUUAAGUUAUAAAGGUUCGACGUAUGGCACUAUACUGAUUGCGCAAGCAGAUGACAAAGGUAAUGGAUGGGAUUUAGGGUUCUUGAAUCAUCUGAAGCCAAACCUGCGAAGAGCUCGUGGCUGGAGAAAAUAGUUGCUCCGGUACUGAAAUAAUGUCGACUUAGAUUCGUCUAUUGAAGUUUUAUUUUGAUUUACCUUUUUUUAACUGUUAUGUCUAUUAUAUCUGAAAUCUGUUUUGUCUUUCUCCACUUGUAUAUCUUGCUAUCUUGGGAUCGACAUGGAUCUUUUCUAAAUUGAGAAUAUGGUUCUAUUAGCUGCUGGUGCAGUUUGGUGCUUAAGAUCUUAGCAUUACCAACUUAUUUUUGAGAACCUGGAAAAAAUUGUGCACUGAAUGUAUUAGUUGGCCUGUGAAAUUAGAUGGUUCUUGUGAGCUAUGUAGUUUCUCCGGUCCGAUUAUUUUUAAUUACCAUCUGUCAAAUAAAUUUCAGUGUAAGAUUAACUAUUUACAUAGCAAUGGAGUUAUUGUCCUUUUCA